UACGGAGGGUGCAAGCGUUAAUCGGAAUUACUGGGCGUAAAGCGCGCGUAGGCGGCUCGGUCAGUCGGGUGUGAAAUCCCUGGGCUCAACCUGCGAACUGCAUUCGAUACUGCCGAGCUAGAGUGUGGGAGAGGGUAGUGGAAUUCCCGGUGUAGCGGUGAAAUGCGUAGAUAUCGGGAGGAACAUCAGGGGCGAAGGCGACUGCCUGGCCCAACACUGACGCUGAGGUGCGAAAGCGUGGGGAGCGAACAGG
rnacentral:rRNA from 1 species